rfam:Ochrobactrum sp. P6BS-III NODE_4_length_347303_cov_31.8672, whole genome shotgun sequence.
AAUGUGUUCCGUGGUGAUUUGGCCGGCCGGCUUGCAGCCACGUUAAAGAAUUCGCUAAAAAGGGCCGCGGUUCGUUACCG